rnacentral:lncRNA from 1 species
CCGCGCCCGCACGUCCCUCAGAACUCUCAGUGAGUGUCAGAUCAACACAUUCAUCCACCAUAUCCCGUGUGUAUAAGAACAAUCCAUCACUCCUGACCUAAUCCAGCACAGAACAGAACUUCUGGAAGAGGACUAAAGAAGAGAAAGAGUGGAAGUGUCACAUGCCCAGAGGAAAAUAGAUGCGACAGAGAUGAAUAAAACAAAACAAAACAAAAGGAAGAAAGCCAAGCUAAUCUGGGAGUUCCAUCACGGCUAAGAACGCAUCUUUGUUUUGUCACGCGGUUUCUAGCCCGGCUCAGACCUGGGCUGCGGCACCUCAGGCAUCUCCUUUCAUCUCUCGGCUUUUCUCCUGGCUCCCGGGCGCUUCUCGAGACUUUUUGGACCUGGACUGGUCCAUGGCAGAACACCUCUUUCCUGAGUCCUCCCUAUGCACCUGCCCAAAGCGGGGGAUUGGGGUGGCACUCUCCAAGAUGCCAGGCUCCUCAAAUGGAGCCAUCACCCCCUAGGCUGUACUUGGCAUUGUCUCCAAGGAGCCUGGGGAGGUAACCGGUUGGGGACUGAUUCACUUGGGAGGGAGGGAGCGAGUGCAGAUUGCAGAUGCUAUCUAGUCGGGCCAAGUCAACCUGGGGAAGGGCAGGUCUGUGUCUCAACUGGUUUAGGGGUGGGAGAGUGGGAUUGGAACUUUUACACCUUGCAUUCUUAGGACGUCACAAUGGUUUUCCCAAGGCCUCCUUAUCUGAGGGUGUUUACCUAUUCAACCAGCAUACGCAGGUUCAGGACUCCCACUUUGUCCGGGUUCUGUCCUCACAGGCACAGGAAGAUUAAUGCGAACAACAGGGUCUGACAAACCAAAACUCACAGAUAAGAGACUUGGGUUAUUAGGGCAGAUGCCAGAAGUCAUGGGAUCUUCACGGGGUGGCUGUAGGCUGAGC